CUCGCAGGUGGAUAUAUGAUGUGACGGACGCACACAGACAUUCGAGGUUCCACACAGGGACGUUGCACGGACGCCGGCUGUGAUCGUGAUGCAUUUAUUGGAGAAAUGUGUGAAAAUGGACAUGCACUGGAAGUAGCAUGCUGUUAUUGUCACCAUGCACGAGCGAAGCAUGCAGCACUGAGUGAAACAGGUAACCCAUAGCGCAGCUCCACUGGUUCCAAAUUUGAUGGACACAGCCAUGAGUUACCUGGCAGUAUUGUGGCAGAGGGUAUCUUGUGCCACAGAAGUACAUACGAACAGUCCAGCAGAAAUACAGCAGCAGCCCAAUCCCAGUCUAUAACUCUGCAGAGGCUCAGAGAGAUAGCAGCAAACCAGGUCCUUCCCACAACUCUACGCAAGCUCGGGAUUCGUCGCAAACCCAGCCAGCCAGCCAGCCAGCCAUGUACGAACCUAUAUUUGCCAACAUUGUAGAUUGUCGACUAGGUAUUUCCAGUGCUUUUGUGACCACGUCGUUCAGUGUGUUGGGUGUGGCUUUCUCCCUUCUUGUGAUACUUGUGGAACAACGUUUGAAACCAUCUAAAGAUACAUACAUCAUUUGAAUUUUUGUAUUUAGUUAAGCACACGAGUACAGGAUGACAUAACAUGACAGGAUGAACCAGCCAACACAA